rnacentral:rRNA from 1 species
UACCAGCACCCCGAGUGGUCGGGACGUUUAUUGGGCCUAAAGCAUCCGUAGCCGGUUCUGCAAGUCUUCCGUUAAAUCCACCUGCUUAACAGAUGGACCGCGGAAGAUACUAUAGAGCUAGGAGGCGGGAGAGGCAAGCGGUACUCGAUGGGUAGGGGUAAAAUCCGUUGAUCCAUUGAAGACCACCAGUGGCGAAGGCGGCUUGCCAGAACGCGCUCGACGGUGAGGGAUGAAAGCUGGGGGAGCAAACCGG